rnacentral:rRNA from 1 species
GACAGAGGGUGCAAACGUUGCUCGGAAUUACUGGGCGUAAAGCGCGUGUAGGUGGAUUGGUGUGUCAGAUGUGAAAGCCCUGGGCUCAACCCAGGAACUGCACCUGAAACUACCAGUCUUGAGUGGUGGAGAGGGAAGUGGAAUUCCUGGUGUAGAGGUGAAAUUCGUAGAUAUCAGGAGGAACACCAGUGGCGAAGGCGGCUUCCUGGACACUAACUGACGCUGAGGCACGAAAGCUAGGGGAGCAAACAGG